AGUUAUUUCUGAUAUCAACAAACCAGGUGCUAAUUAUAGCCUCAGUCUAGUCAACCAGCUCUUUGGAGAAACAUCAUAUGAUUUUCUUGCAUCAUUUAUAGAAUCCACUCAGAGAUUCUACCAUGCAGGUCUGGAGAAACUUAACUUCACACAAGCUUCAGAAGAUUCAAGAAGACAUAUAAAUGCCUGGGUAGAAGAAAAAACCUCAG